rnacentral:rRNA from 1 species
AAUAGAUACCCUGGUAGUCCAUGCCGUAAACGUUGGGCACUAGGUGUGGGGCUCAUUCCACGAGUUCCGUGCCGCAGCAAACGCAUUAAGUGCCCCGCCUGGGGAGUACGGCCGCAAGGCUAAAACUCAAAGGAAUUGACGGGGGCCCGCACAAGCGGCGGAGCAUGCGGAUUAAUUCGAUGCAACGCGAAGAACCUUACCAAGGCUUGACAUGCACGGGAAGCCACCAGAGAUGGUGGUCUCUUUGAACACUCGUGCACAGGUGGUGCAUGGUUGUCGUCAGCUCGCGUCGUGAGAUGUUGGGUUAAGUCCCGCAACGAGCGCAACCCUCGUCCCAUGUUGCCAGCGGGUUAUGCCGGGGACUCAUGGGAGACUGCCGGGGUCAACUCGGAGGAAGGUGGGGAUGACGUCAAAUCAUCAUGCCCCUUAUGUCUUGGGCUUCACGCAUGCUACAAUGGCCGGUACAAAGGGCUGCGAUACCGUAAGGUGGAGCGAAUCCCGAAAAAGCCGGUCUCAGUUCGGAUUGGGGUCG